GUCCCGCCCCCAGAGUCUGACGCAACUUAUGUUUCGCUUGAAGGCUGUGGAGGGCUCGCGUGUAUUCAAGCCAUAGAUGAGUGUGCGUAACUUUGAAAAAACCACACUCACACAACCUUAAUAUGUUCAUGCAAUGCCCUGAGUAUGUUGAUGGCUUGAUCCUACUAUUAAAACUGUGAUUGGACUUUGGACUUUUGUGCAUUCUUACCGAUGCAACGUGAUGAUCCCAACUAAGUCAGAACCAAGCAAUACAGUCCAUAAACCUAAUUAACAGCAAGAACUUAAAAGAGCGUUAUGAGGAUUCUGAUAUGGCUAAUGUGAUUAACAUGGCCUGUGUACUUGACCCCCGCUUCAAGUUGAACUUUGUGGAAGAGGCAGAUUCAAUCAAAGGACAGUUAGUGUCACAGUGUGUCUGGCCUUUGUAUCACUGGGUGUCCACUAGAGGUCUCACUCCCCCUUAUCAUCACUGUUCAUUGUUUUCAGCUGUUUUCACUUACAUUGUUUGCACUUGUCUUUAAAUACCUGGAUUGUUUCUGUCCUUGUUACGGAGUCCUUGUUUAAUGUCUAUGCAUUUUACAUGUCCAUCAACUCUUGCCCUUGUCUUGCCUUGCUCUGUGUCCACGUCUUGUUUAUGUUUUGUUUUUGGAUAUUCUGGUUUUGACCCUGCCUGGACUGUUUACCCCUUGGAUUUGCCCUAUAAUAAACUGCUUACCUGCAAUUGGAUCUCUCCUUGUUUUCGGUGUCGCCUCACGUGACAGUUAGAGCAACAGGUCAUGCAGGAGUCUUCUGCAAAUGAAGGCACUUCUACUCUCUCACAGGAGUCUUCUGCCAGAGGACAAUGUGAAGAUGAGGGGAACAGUGUCUCUGUCCCUGAGGCCCCAAAAGGCUUGGCUGGUAUUCUCAAAAUAAUAACAAUGAAAAAAUAGGAGAAAAACCAAUCAGCAGACAUGGUGAAAUCUACACUAGCAUUUCAAGAAGUUUCUGUUUACACAUCCUUGCCCACUAUUGCUGUUGAUAAAGAUCCACUUCAGUGGUGGAAGGAUAAUGAGGAGGAGUUUCCAAGGUUGGCAAAACUGGCACAGAAGAUCCUUUGCAUUCCUGCCACCAGUGUUGCAUCAGAAAGACUUUUCAGUUCUUCAGGAAACAUUCAGACAGUGUUUCGCUCCAGUUUGAAACCAGACAAACUUAAUAUGCUUGUCUUCUUUCACACAGAUUUGCCAUAGAUUGUGAAUGCAACAAGUAAAAAUUAGGGCCGGGACUUUAACGCGUUAAUUGAGAUUAAUUAAUUACACAAAAAAUAACGCUUUAACUAAGAUUAAUUAAUUACAGAAAAAAAUUUCCCGCAUUUUUAAUAACUUAUUUUUGCACCGCAGAACGUUUCUCACUGGAUGCGUUUCGGCGGACCGAUUAUACUGAAGCACCAACUAGCGUUCGCAUAUCACUGCAGCACAUCGAGCCUCAAGUAUCACCUCAACGCAAAACAUAUAGCAGCUAGCGUGGACUUUACACUUUAUGUUGAACUAUGUAUUAUUUUGUUGGUGCAACAGUUUAUGUUGAACUCUCUAUUGUUUUGCCCAAGGUUAUUGAGAGUUAGACUUAGUAUGUUAUUUCCUCUGAAGCAACAGAGAGAUGUUUUCUAAUAGUCAGGGUUUCCAAUGUUCUGAAUGUAAUUGACAGUAUUGUGUUUUACUUUAAAAACACUUUACAGAAAGUUCUAGCACCUAUGAGCUUCCUGAAUUUCUGAAAUGUACUAUUUCUAAAUUAUUUCUAAAUAUGCUAUUGCUACACUUCAUGGCAAAAAUUGCACUGGUCUGCUAGACUUGGUUGAACAAAAAUGAACAAUAUUUUUUUGCUUAAGCUUAUGUAUUCAGUCAUUAUUCAAUGGUAUACUAUAAAUCCAUGUGAAAAAAAAAAUACUUCUCACUGUUCUCAGGUCAAAUAUUUAUCUGCGAUUAAAAUGCGAUUAAUUUCGAUUAAUUAAUUACAAAGCCUCUAAUUAAUUAGAUAAUUUUUUUUAAUCGAGUCCCGGCCCUAGUAAAAAUAUGUGUGCCUUGUUUAUCAGUAUUCCUAAUGCUUGUUGGGUAAAAAAGAGAAAAUAAGUAAAAAUGAGUUUAAUGCCUGAGAAGGCAAUACGUUAAAAUACAUGUGCCUUGUUUAUCAGCUAAAUGAGUUUAAUGGCUGAGAAGGCAAUAAGUUAAAAUACAUGUGCCUUGUUUAUCAGUAUUCCUAAUGCUUGUUGGGUAAAAAAGAGAAAAUAAGUAAAAAUGAGUUUAAUACCUGAGAAGGCAAUAAGUUAAAAUACAAGUGACUUGUUGAUCAGUAUUCCUUGUGUAUGUUGAGUAAAAAAGAAUAAAUUAAGAACAAAUUAA